AUGCAGCACCGUGCACUCCGCCUCCUCCGUGUCGUCCGCACCCACCCAACGCACACUACGUUGUGUUGGCC
rfam:Xanthomonas campestris pv. campestris str. ATCC 33913, complete genome.